GGUGGUGUACUACUGACUGUUUAUUAUCAGCUAAGGAAGUACAAGUGCAGGCUAGCCAUUAAGUGGAUUGUUCACGAAGCGCGGUAGUUAAUUAGUGCAGAGUGAAGACACAGACAGCGAACCAUGUAAUGAUGUUCCUCGCAACUAAAAGGAUUAUGGCACCCAAGCCUACAAAUCCACGAAACCUCCCUUUCAGUGAUACUGAGAAAAAGUUCAUCAUCAAGACUCUGAGGUGGCAUGGAACCUUCCUGCUUGAGAGAGGCCAGGUGAUAUGGUUGCCAGAAAGGAGAUUUGAAACCAGUUAGUCACCGAUGUGAACGAAGUUGGUGGUUGAGCCCACAAUUAUGAUCAAGUGUAAUAUAUAGCCACUGAUAUGAUUUCAUCAGCAUGGAGGAGGGCAGCUGCCCGAAAACAGCUUGCUUUGAUGGGGUGGUCCUGCUAUUGAGCCACCAUGGACACCAAAUGUGGAAUAAAAUUUUACUGCUA